GCGCCUAUAGCUCAAUUGGUUAGAGCAAUCGACUCAUAAUCGAUGGGUUCCAGGUUCAAGUCCUGGUGGGCGCA
rnacentral:tRNA from 1 species